AUGAACGCUAGCGGCAGGCUUAACACAUGCAAGUCGAGGGGCAACAUAAUGGUAGUAAUACUAUUGAUGGCGACCGGCGGACGGGUGCGUAACGCGUAUGCAACCUACCCUUUACAGGGGGAUAACACUGAGAAAUCGGUACUAAUACCCCAUAAUAUUCUGGGAGGCAUCUUUCGGAGUUGAAAGCUUUGGUGGUAAAGGAUGGGCAUGCGUUGUAUUAGCUAGUUGGUAAGGUAACGGCUUACCAAGGCGACGAUACAUAGGGGGACUGAGAGGUUAACCCCCCACAUUGGUACUGAGACACGGACCAAACUCCUACGGGAGGCAGCAGUGAGGAAUAUUGGUCAAUGGACGGAAGUCUGAACCAGCCAUGCCGCGUGCAGGAAGACGGCUCUAUGAGUUGUAAACUGCUUUUGUACGAGGGUAAACGCAGAUACGUGUAUCUGCCUGAAAGUAUCGUACGAAUAAGGAUCGGCUAACUCCGUGCCAGCAGCCGCGGUAAUACGGAGGAUCCAAGCGUUAUCCGGAUUUAUUGGGUUUAAAGGGUGCGUAGGCGGUUUAGUAAGUCAGCGGUGAAAUUUUGGUGCUUAACACCAAACGUGCCGUUGAUACUGCUGGGCUAGAGAGUAGUUGCGGUAGGCGGAAUGUAUGGUGUAGCGGUGAAAUGCUUAGAGAUCAUACAGAACACCGAUUGCGAAGGCAGCUUACCAAACUAUAUCUGACGUUGAGGCACGAAAGCGUGGGGAGCAAACAGGAUUAGAUACCCUGGUAGUCCACGCAGUAAACGAUGAUAGCUCGUUGUCGGCGAUACACAGUCGGUGACUAAGAGAAAUCGAUAAGCUAUCCACCUGGGGAGUACGUUCGCAAGAAUGAAACUCAAAGGAAUUGACGGGGGCCCGCACAAGCGGAGGAACAUGUGGUUUAAUUCGAUGAUACGCGAGGAACCUUACCCGGGCUCAAACGCAGGGGGAAUGUCGGUGAAAGCCGGCAGCUAGUAAUAGUCACCUGCGAGGUGCUGCAUGGUUGUCGUCAGCUCGUGCCGUGAGGUGUCGGGUUAAGUCCCAUAACGAGCGCAACCCCUACUGAUAGUUGCCAUCAGAGCGUUUGAGCGAUCAAACAAGCUGGGCACUCUAUCGGGACUGCCGGUGUAAGCCGAGAGGAAGGUGGGGAUGACGUCAAAUCAGCACGGCCCUUACGUCCGGGGCGACACACGUGUUACAAUGGUAGGUACAGAGGGCAGCCACCCAGUGAUGGGGAGCGAAUCUCGAAAGCCUAUCUCAGUUCGGAUUGGAGGCUGAAACUCGCCUCCAUGAAGUUGGAUUCGCUAGUAAUCGCGCAUCAGCCAUGGCGCGGUGAAUACGUUCCCGGGCCUUGUACACACCGCCCGUCAAGCCAUGGGAGUUGGGGGUGCCUGAAGUUCGUGACCGAAAGGAGCGACCUAGGGCAAAACCGAUGACUGGGGCU
rnacentral:rRNA from 1 species